rnacentral:rRNA from 1 species
GUAGGUGGCAAGCGUUGUCCGGAAUUAUUGGGCGUAAAGCGCGCGCAGGCGGUUCUUUAAGUCUGAUGUGAAAGCCCACGGGCUCAACCGUGGAGGGUCAUUGGAAACUGGAGAACUGAGUACAGAAGAGGAAAGCGGAAUUCCACGUGUAGCGGUGAAAUGCGAAGAGAUGUGGAGGAACACCAGUGGCGAAGGCGGCUUUCUGGUCUGUAACUGACGCUGAGGCGCGAAAGCGUGGGGAGCAAACAGGAUUAGAUACCCUGGUAGUCCACGCCGUAAACGAUGAGUGCUAAGUGUUAGGGGGUUUCCGCCCCUUAGUGCUGCAGCUAACGCAUUAAGCACUCCGCCUGGGGAGUACGGCCGCAAGGCUG